CCGCGCUGUGAUGAUCCUUUUGGGCUGUUGAGCCUCACGGCCAUGAGAGGCGCCACAUGCACCUCCAGCUGAGCGCGG